rnacentral:rRNA from 3 species
AAACUUUCAACAACGGAUCUCUUGGUUCUGGCAUCGAUGAAGAACGCAGCGAAAUGCGAUAAGUAAUGUGAAUUGCAGAAUUCAGUGAAUCAUCGAAUCUUUGAACGCACAUUGCACCCUCUGGUAUUCCGGGGGGUAUGCCUGUUCGAGCGUCAUU